UACGUAGGGUGCGAGCGUUAAUCGGAAUUACUGGGCGUAAAGCGUGCGCAGGCGGUUCGUUGUGUCGGCGGUGAAAGCCCCGGGCUUAACCUGGGAAUGGCCGUCGAAACUGGCGAACUGGAGUGUGGCAGAGGGGGGUGGAAUUCCGCGUGUAGCAGUGAAAUGCGUAGAUAUGUGGAGGAACACCGAUGGCGAAGGCAGCCCCCUGGGUCAAGACUGACGCUCAUGCACGAAAGCGUGGGGAGCAAACAGG
rnacentral:rRNA from 1 species